rnacentral:rRNA from 1 species
GAUGAACGCUAGCGGCAGGCCUAAUACAUGCAAGUCGAACGGUGUCUUCGGACAUAGUGGCGCACGGGUGCGUAACACGUAUGCAACCUACCUUACAUUGGGGGAUAGCCUUUCGAAAGGGAGAUUAAUACCGCAUAAGACAGUAGCUGGGCAUCCAGCAGCUGUUAAAGAUUUAUCGAUGUAAGCUGGGCAUGCGUCCAAUUAGCUAGUUGGUGAGGUAACGGCUCCCAAAGGCAAUGAUUGGUAGGGGAACUGAGAGGUCAAUCCCCCACACGGGCACUGAGAUACGGGCCAGACUCCUACGGGAGGCAGCAGUAGGGAAUAUUGGGCAAUGGACGCAAGUCUGACCCAGCCAUGCCGCGUGCAGGAUGAAGGCGUUAUGCGUUGUAAACUGCUUUUAUACAGGAAGAAACGACUCUUGCGAGAGGCAUUGACGGUACUGUAUGAAUAAGCACCGGCUAACUCCGUGCCAGCCGCCGCGGUAAGAC